AAUUUUUGACAAUGGGGGAAACGCUGAUCCAGCAAUGCCGCGUGCAGGAUGAAGGNCUNNGGGUUNUNAACUGCUUUUGUACGNNNNNAAAAGUCUUUGNCUCAUACCCUGGGCUCAUGCAGGUACCGUAAGAAUAAGCACCGGACAACUUCGUGCCAGCAGCCGCGGUAAUACGUAUGGUGCAAGCGUGAAACGGAAUUACUGGGCGUAAAGCGUGCGAAGGCGGUUUUGUAAGACAGUGGUGAAAUCCCCGGGGUCAACCUGGGAACUGCCAUUGUGACUGCAAGGCUGGAGUGCGGCAGAGGGGGAUGGAAUUCCGCGUGUAGCAGUGAAAUGCGUAGAUAUGCGGAGGAACACCGAUGGCGAAGGCAAUCCACUGGGCCUGCACUGACGCUCAUGCACGAGAGCGUGGGGAGCAAACAGG
rnacentral:rRNA from 1 species